GGUAAGUGGCAAGAUGGCUCCCCUGCAUGUCUCCGGCUGAACGCUGCCGCUUUGCCAAUACAAUAGAGCCAGCUUACUACCAGCAACCUGGCCCUCUUCCUCCUCUUCCUCCAGAGAGACCAGUCCAGCCGAACUCGGGGUUUGCCGUGAGGACUUAAACGCUUAUCUCUUAAACGCCCGAUCUAUUUUAGCCUCCCCGCUCCACCACCACCUCCCCUUCAUUUACCAUUUUUUUGGAUUCCCCAGUUGCUGCAUCUUGAUUUUCUCUCUCUGGAUCGGGUGGCUGGGAGGAGGUGGUGGGAUCUCGGGGCAAGGAAAGUGGUUUGUUUGGUUCGGGGGUUUUUGUUUUAAUUUUUUUAGGAUUUUUUUGUUUGGUUUUUGUUAUUUCUUCCAUUCCAGAAAGGGAUAAACAGCACUUCCAGGGGGAGAAA
rnacentral:lncRNA from 1 species